rnacentral:rRNA from 1 species
UCUACCCUUGAGCGGGGGAUAACAGUUGGAAACGGCUGCUAAUACCGCAUAUACUGGCGAGACCUGAUGGUUUUGUCAGCAAAGGUGGCCUCUUAACAAUGCUAUCACUUAACGAUGAGCCCGCGUCUGAUUAGCUAGUAGGUGGGGUAACGGCCUACCUAAGCAACGAUCAGUAUCCGGCCUGAAACGGUGUACGGCCACACUGGAACUGAGACACAGUCCAAACUCCUACGGGAGGCAGCAGUGGGGAAUAUUGCGCAAUGGGGGAAACCCUGACGCAGCGACUCCGCGUGAGCGAUGAAGGCCUUAUGGUCGUAAAGCUCUGUUGUAAGGGACGAAUGUUUAUCUGGCGAACAGUCAGAUAAAGUGACGGUACCUUACCAGCAAGCCCCGGCUAACUACGUGCCAGCAGCCGCGGUAAGACGUAGGGGGCGAGCGUUGUCCGGAAUUACUGGGCGUAAAGAGCACGUAGGCGGAUAAUUAAGUCAGAUGUGAAAGACCGGGGCCCAAACUCGGGGUUGCAUCUGAAACUGGAUAUCUUGAGGGCAGGAGAGGAAAGUGGAAUUCCUGAUGUAGCGGUGAAAUGCGUAGAAAUCAGGAUGAAUACCAGUGGCGAAGGCGACUUUCUGGACUGACCCUGACGCUGAGGUGCCAAAGCGUGGGGAGCAAACAGGAUUAGAUACCCUGGUAGUCCACGCCGUAAACAAUAAGUACUA